CCCUUCUUCCUCUGCCGCUCUGCACUGUGCACUGCCCAUUGCCCAAUUGGAUAGUAAGAAUUAAGAAAAGAUGUUGAGACUGUUCACAAUUCCUAACGUCAUAGCUCCUUUCCCUUCAAAAACCAUACCUUCUUCAAGCACGCCAACACACUGCUCUCUUAUCAGGGCCAAAAUGUCGUCCGAUUCACUUCCUCCUCCGCCUGAUAACCGCAUCGUCUUAGGUUGCGGAACGGUGACGGUUGACUUUUUGGCGGCAGUGGCCGCCUAUCCUAAUCCUGAUGACAAGAUCGGAAGCACCGGUUUCAAGGUUCAAGGUGGCGGAAAUGUGGGGAAUGCCUUAACUUGUGCUGCUCGUUUGGGCUUGAAUCCUAGGCUGAUAUCCAAGGUUGCUGAUGAUACCCAGGGCAGGAGUAUACUGGAGGAGCUUAAAGCUGAUGGUGUGGAUCCCUCUUUUCUAGUGGUUUCUGAUGAGGGAAAUUCACCGUUUACCUAUGUCAUUGUCGACAACCAAACAAAGACGCGUACUUGCAUUCAUACCCCCGGAUAUCCUCCCAUGAUACCAGAUGAUCUUUCUCAAGAAAGCCUGGUUUCUGCUCUGGAUGAUGCUAGAGUAGUCUAUUUCGAUGGAAGGUUACCUGAAACUGCUUUGGUAGUUGCCCAAGAGGCAGCCCGCAAAAACAUACCAAUUUUAAUUGAUGCUGAAAGGAAAAGGGAAGGGUUGGAUAAUCUUCUAGAAUUGGCUGAUUAUGCUAUAUGCUCCGCAAAAUUUCCACAGGAAGUGCUCUUUUUUAUCGAAGGAUAUAGAGGAGCUGAGUUGAUUCUGAUCCUGUAUCUCUGCAUAAUUAAACAUGUCUCUCCUGUUUUAUGUGAAACAUCUAAUCAUAAACACUUUGAGUAUUCAACCCAAUUUUGGAGUAAAUUGGUCCUUCAUCGGUUUGGCAUGGACGGAGGCUCCAUCUAUUCCAAGUGCACUUGUUUCCAUGCUUCUGAGGUUGCCGAACCUCAAAUUUGUCAUCGUGACUUUGGGGAAAGAUGGAUGUGUAAUGCUUGAAAGGAAUGUAAACGGGGAUGUGGUGUCUGAAGAAAUAGAUGUGGACAGCUUAUUGGAAACACUGAGGCAGAGAAAGGAUGAUAGCAUAGGGAUUCCAACAUGUCUUUCAUCACCAGUGGCAAAGUUGACAGCACAAGGGAUAGGGGCAGUGAGUGGUAGAUUAUUUGCAGGAACAGCUGAGAAGAUACCUCCAUCAGAACUUGUGGAUACUACUGGAGCUGGGGAUGCAUUUAUCGGGGCAGCUCUUUAUGCUAUCUGCGCAGACAUGCCACCAGAGAAAAUGUUGCCAUUUGCUGCCCAAGUGGCUGCUGCAAACUGUAGAGCUUUGGGAGCUCGGACGGGGCUUCCACACCGCACAGACCCAUGUUUAGCAUCUUUUCUAAGUUGAGUUACUGAAUCUUGAUUUCCGAACAGAACUACUGAAUCUGAGACGGGCUUCCGAGUCCUCUCUGUUUUGUUAAGAUUUCAUAAGCAGUUGUAGGACAAGUGGUUUGGUGAAAGCAUGGUGUUGUGUCAAUUCCGAACGGAUUGCGCCGUAUGCGUGAUUGGUACAUUGUUAGAUACUU